GAUGAACGCUGGCGGCGUGCCUAAUACAUGCAAGUCGAGCGAACGGACGAGAAGCUUGCUUCUCUGAUGUUAGCGGCGGACGGGUGAGUAACACGUGGAUAACCUACCUAUAAGACUGGGAUAACUUCGGGAAACCGGAGCUAAUACCGGAUAAUAUUUUGAACCGCAUGGUUCAAAAGUGAAAGACGGUCUUGCUGUCACUUAUAGAUGGAUCCGCGCUGCAUUAGCUAGUUGGUAAGGUAAUGGCUUACCAAGGCAACGAUGCAUAGCCGACCUGAGAGGGGGAUCGGCAACACUGGAACUGAGACACGGUCCAGACUCCUACGGGAGGCAGCAGUAGGGAAUCUUCCGCAAUGGGCGAAAGCCUGACGGAGCAACGCCGCGUGAGUGAUGAAGGUCUUCGGAUCGUAAAACUCUGUUAUUAGGGAAGAACAUAUGUGUAAGUAACUGUGCACAUCUUGACGGUACCUAAUCAGAAAGCCACGGCUAACUACGUG
rnacentral:rRNA from 1 species